UCGAUUGAGUUUGAUCCUGGCUCAGAACGAACGCUGGCGGCAGGCUUAACACAUGCAAGUCGAACGCCCUCUUCGGAGGGAGUGGCAGACGGGUGAGUAACGCGCGGGAAUUUACCCAGCUCUACGGAACAACUCAGGGAAACUUGAGCUAAUACCGUAUACGCCCUUUGGGGGAAAGAUUUAUCGGAGUUGGAUGAGCCCGCGUUUGAUUAGCUAGUUGGUGGGGUAAUGGCCUACCAAGGCGACGAUCAAUAGCUGGUCUGAGAGGAUGAUCAGCCACACUGGGACUGAGACACGGCCCAGACUCCUACGGGAGGCAGCAGUGGGGAAUAUUGGACAAUGGGCGCAAGCCUGAUCCAGCCAUGCCGCGUGAGUGAUGAAGGCCCUAGGGUUGUAAAGCUCUUUCAACGGUGAAGAUAAUGACGGUAACCGUAGAAGAAGCCCCGGCUAACUUCGUGCCAGCAGCCGCGGUAAUACGAAGGGGGCUAGCGUUGUUCGGAUUUACUGGGCGUAAAGCGCACGUAGGCGGAUCGUUAAGUGAGGGGUGAAAUCCCAGGGCUCAACCCUGGAACUGCCUUUCAUACUGGCGAUCUGGAGUUCGAGAGAGGUGAGUGGAAUUUGUAAGUGUAGAGGUGAAAUUGGUAGAUAUUCGGAGGAACACCAGUGGNNAAUAAUCCUACUCACUAUAGGGAGAAUUAUCCCUACGAAGCAUGCGGGAGCAAACCAGGGCGGCCACCGGAAUACUC
rnacentral:rRNA from 1 species